rnacentral:rRNA from 1 species
UGCAAGUCGAGCGAACAGAUAAGGAGCUUGCUCCUUUGACGUUAGCGGCGGACGGGUGAGUAACACGUGGGUAACCUACCUAUAAGACUGGGAUAACUUCGGGAAACCGGAGCUAAUACCGGAUAAUAUUUCGAACCGCAUGGUUCGAUAGUGAAAGAUGGUUUUGCUAUCACUUAUAGAUGGACCCGCGCCGUAUUAGCUAGUUGGUAAGGUAACGGCUUACCAAGGCGACGAUACGUAGCCGACCUGAGAGGGUGAUCGGCCACACUGGAACUGAGACACGGUCCAGACUCCUACGGGAGGCAGCAGUAGGGAAUCUUCCGCAAUGGGCGAAAGCCUGACGGAGCAACGCCGCGUGAGUGAUGAAGGUCUUCGGAUCGUAAAACUCUGUUAUUAGGGAAGAACAUACGUGUAAGUAACUGUGCACGUCUUGACGGUACCUAAUCAGAAAGCCACGGCUAACUACGUGCCAGCAGCCGCGGUAAUACGUAGGUGGCAAGCGUUAUCCGGAAUUAUUGGGCGUAAAGCGCGCGUAGGCGGUUUUUUAAGUCUGAUGUGAAAGCCCACGGCUCAACCGUGGAGGGUCAUUGGAAACUGGAAAACUUGAGUGCAGAAGAGGAAAGUGGAAUUCCAUGUGUAGCGGUGAAAUGCGCAGAGAUAUGGAGGAACACCAGUGGCGAAGGCGACUUUCUGGUCUGUAACUGACGCUGAUGUGCGAAAGCGUGGGGAUCAAACAGGAUUAGAUACCCUGGUAGUCCACGCCGUAAACGAUGAGUGCUAAGUGUUA